CUCUUUACAUGGCCCUGCAAUAAACUUUUCUCUGCUCCAAACUGAUGUAUCAGUUUGUCUGGCCUCACUUUGCUUUGUGCAUGGAGCCAGUGGAGGAGUCUGUGCCUAGAGAAGGUUGAUCUCAGGCUGGUGGACUCCCUUCUCUGAGCCCCCAGCAGCAGCCAGAGUACAUUUGGUUCUGGGGGUUUUAGAAGGACUAUCCCUGACCGGUGCUGGCUGCCCAUGGCAUGAGGUUGUUUGGAGCCAAGAAACAUCUGGAGCCAUGGUCCACAUUUGGUUUUGUUGGAUGAGUUGCUCUGUUGCAGCAAAAAUCUAAAUGAAGCUUUUUUUCUCUUGAGAACUAGAAAAGUAAAGGGAACAGUGAACAGGCUAGAGAAGAAACAUAAUCGGGCCUGAAAGGGUUAAUCACUUCUAGUUUUACUUUAACCGUUGCUAAUCUGUGGUGUCUGCAGCUAGAUUUGUCCUUCAUGAAGCUAAACUAUCACCUCCUCCUAAUACUAUGUCAAUUAUAUCUUGCUCCUGGUGUUUGCUCUCCUUUCUCUCUCGUAGCAAUUCACCCCAUAUAACUGUUUGCAUUUCAGAAAGAAGGUCUCAGGCUCUUAACCCAGAGACAAACAGACCCAAUUACUGGGCUGCCAGAUGUGAGCUGUGACUGUUUUGAAAUAAGGCAGGAAGAGGAAGAAUGUAAGAACCUCAUUACUUUGAACUAUAUGAUCUGCCUUAGACCACAAGACCCAGGGUAUAUAACAUCUCUCAAUUCACCUAGGAAGUGGGCAGUUCUUGAGUCACUAGCCUGUUGUGUUCUCUCCCCUUGCUCAGGAGACAGAAUAAAAGCCACUCUUUCUGUUUCCUCCAAAUCUGUCUCUGCAUUUCUAUUUGACAUUGGGCAGGGAGCCAAGAUUUUGGCAGCAGCUCUGGCUUGCACAGGCUGGGAAUUCUCUACACUCCAUUUGGGAGGCUUCCUUUGCAUGACCUAUGAUUCUAUCUGACCGUAUAUUUUGGUGAAAAGUGAAAGUGAAAGUCACUCAGUCGUGUCCAACUCUUUGUGACCCC
rnacentral:lncRNA from 1 species